AUGAUUAGAUUACACCAGUAGUAAGAGAAGAAAAGGAAAUAAAAAAAGAGCAAGCAAAGGAUGAAGAAGAUGCCCAAGAUAAAGUUGAGAAUGAAGAAAUAGAGGUAGAGACUGAUGUGGAGGGAGAAAAUACAUCCAAAGAAGAGUAUAAUGUUGAGAAUGAAGAAAUAGAGGUAGAGACUGAGGUGGAGGGAAAGAGCACAUCCAAAGAAGAG